GAUGAACGCUGGCGGCGUGCCUAAUACAUGCAAGUCGAGCGAACAGAUGAGGAGCUUGCUCCUCUGACGUUAGCGGCGGACGGGUGAGUAACACGUGGAUAACCUACCUAUAAGACUGGGAUAACUUCGGGAAACCGGAGCUAAUACCGGAUAAUAUAUUGAACCGCAUGGUUCAAUAGUGAAAGACGGUUUUGCUGUCCCUUAUAGAUGGAUCCGCGCCGCAUUAGCUAGUUGGUAAGGUAACGGCUUACCAAGGCAACGAUGCGUAGCCGACCUGAGAGGGUGAUCGGCCACACUGGAACUGAGACACGGUCCAGACUCCUACGGGAGGCAGCAGUAGGGAAUCGUCCGCAAUGGGCGAAAGCCUGACGGAGCAACGCCGCGUGAGUGAUGAAGGUCUUCGGAUCGUAAAACUCUGUUAUUAGGGAAGAACAAAUGUGUAAGUAACUAUGCACGUCUUGACGGUACCUAAUCAGAAAGCCACGGCUAACUACGUG
rnacentral:rRNA from 1 species